rnacentral:rRNA from 1 species
UACGAAGGGGGGCUAGCGUUGCUCGGAAUUAUUGGGCGUAAAGCGCGUGUAGGCGGCUUUGCAAGUCGGGUGUGAAAGCCCUCAGCUCAACUGAGGAAGUGCGCCCCGAAACUGCAGAGCUUGAGUGCCGGAGAGGGUGGCGGAAAUUCCCCCAAGUAGAGGUGAAAUUCGUAGAUAUGGGGAGGAACACCGGUGGGCGAAGGCGCCACCUGGACGGUAACUGACGCUGAGACGCGAAAGCGUGGGGAGCAAACAGG